GAGCCUAUGGUCCAGUGGUAGGAUUCCAGCCUCAUUCUUCUUCCCAUCGGGAGGCCUGAAUCGCUGGCGACCGGAGUUCGACUCUCCGUAGGCUCC